rnacentral:rRNA from 1 species
UACGUAGGGUGCAAGCGUUGUCCGGAAUUAUUGGGCGUAAAGAGCUCGUAGGCGGUCUGUCGCGUCGGCUGUGAAAACUCGGGGCUCAACCCCGAGCCUGCAGUCGAUACGGGCAGACUAGAGUUCGGUAGGGGAGACUGGAAUUCCUGGUGUAGCGGUGAAAUGCGCAGAUAUCAGGAGGAACACCGAUGGCGAAGGCAGGUCUCUGGGCAUUAACUGACGCUGAGGAGCGAAAGCAUGGGGAGCGAACAGG